rnacentral:rRNA from 1 species
UACGAAGGGGGGCUAGCGUUGUUCGGAAUUACUGGGCGUAAAGCGCACGUAGGCGGAUUGUUAAGUGAGGGGUGAAAUCCCAGGGCUCAACCCUGGAACUGCCUUUCAUACUGGCAAUCUCGAGUCCGAGAGAGGUGAGUGGAAUUCCGAGUGUAGAGGUGAAAUUCGUAGAUAUUCGGAGGAACACCAGUGGCGAAGGCGGCUCACUGGCUCGGUACUGACGCUGAGGUGCGAAAGCGUGGGGAGCAAACAGG